GACGAACGCUGGCGGCGCGCUUAACACAUGCAAGUCGAGCGAAGCGGCGGACGGGUGAGUAACACGUGAGUAACCUGCCUUAGACAUUGGGAUAGCCUCGGGAAACCGUGAUUAAUACCAAAUGGUCUAAGAUGGACUCGCGUCCCAUUAGCUAGUUGGUGAGGUAACGGCCCACCAAGGCGACGAUGGGUAGCCGGCCUGAGAGGGUGAACGGCGACAGUGGAACUGAGAAACGGUCCAAACGCUACGGGAGGCAGCAGUGGGGAAUAUUGCACAAGGGAGGGAACUCUGAGGAAGCGACGCGGGGUGAACGAAGAAGGCUUUCGAGUAGUAAAGUGCUUUUAUAUGGGAAGCGGUACCAUAAGAAAAAGCCCCGGCUAACUACGUGCCAGCAGCCGCGGUAAUAC
rnacentral:rRNA from 1 species